GUUUGAAUGAGGGUUUGUUACAGUGGAUUCUAAACAUAAAUUGAACAGAGAAUGAAGUUUUGAAAGGGGUAAUGAAUAAAGUUUCGUGCGAAUGUGAUGAAUACCUAACGGCUUUUGUAUAAAUGGCAGCAAGUCAUUAAUAGAUACAUCAUGCAGAGAAGGUGAUGUAUAAUGACGAUGACCAUGACUGCGUCUACGUCGAGGAGUCGA
rnacentral:lncRNA from 1 species